AUCUAAGUAGGCGGAGGAGGAGAAAAUAACUAAUGAUUGCGCAAGUAGUGGCGAGCGAACGCGCAAGAGCCCAAACCCAGCCGGUUACGGCCGGCUGGGGGUUGUAGGACCACAACAUUGACUUAAGUUGUAUAAUAGAACAGGUUUGGAAAGGCCGACCAUAGAGGGUGAUAGUCCCGUAUAUGACAUGCAAUUUAUACAUAGUGGUAUCCUGAGUACUGCGGGGUCGGAGACGCCCUGUAGGAAUUUGCCGGCACCAUCCGGUAAGGCUAAAUACUCCCAAGAGACCGAUAGCGCACAAGUA
rnacentral:rRNA from 1 species